rnacentral:rRNA from 1 species
AUUGAACGCUGGCGGCAUGCCUUACACAUGCAAGUCGAACGGUAACAGGUUAAGCUGACGAGUGGCGAACGGGUGAGUAAUGUAUCGGAACGUGCCCAGUCGUGGGGGAUAACUGCUCGAAAGAGCAGCUAAUACCGCAUACGACCUGAGGGUGAAAGGGGGGGAUCGCAAGACCUCGCGCGAUUGGAGCGGCCGAUAUCAGAUUAGGUAGUUGGUGGGGUAAAGGCCUACCAAGCCUACGAUCUGUAGCUGGUCUGAGAGGACGACCAGCCACACUGGGACUGAGACACGGCCCAGACUCCUACGGGAGGCAGCAGUGGGGAAUUUUGGACAAUGGACGCAAGUCUGAUCCAGCCAUGCCGCGUGUGGGAAGAAGGCCUUCGGGUUGUAAACCGCUUUUGUCAGGGAAGAAAAGGGUGCUUCUAAUAAAGACGCCUCAUGACGGUACCUGAAGAAUAAGCACCGGCUAACUACGUGCCAGCCGCCGCAGUAAAAC